GAGAUGAAUCAAGUUUUAAGAUAAAACCCCCGUAACUUGUGAAAGUCUAUUUAUCUGUUUAAUAGUACGUAGUAAGGAAUAUUUGUUGUGGUGCACACCAUCUUCUCUCUUCUUCCACAAGAACAGAAAAAAUGAUGACCUUACCACAGCCUUAGCGCAUCAGUUGUUCACCUCUAAAUGGAAUUUUCUGAAUGCCCCCCUACUUCAGUUCAAAGCCAAAAUUACUUCAUCUGAUUGUUUGGUGGUAUAUCUUCUAUCUUUGAUGGAUCAUGAACUUAUUCAAAUAAAGUAAGAUUUUCUGCCGGAAAGAAGCACCUUUCUCUCUUUUUUCUGCUUUUGAUAGUGAGAUAAGUGAUAAAUUUAAGGGACGCUUUUAACCCCGUUUUUAGUGUCUUCUUAUUGCAAUAAAAAUCCAAGAUAACCAUGUAACAGUCGUCAAGCAAAUUCAGCCGAGGAGCCACUUGAAUCCAUACUUAAGUGACCUUCUGUGAUGCUGAACUGUCCAUUCUAACAACUGCAAGGAAAUUCCUUCAUAUGGCUGUAUAGAGAACAAUCUCCUGGCUCCCUUUUCAUUCCCAGUGUUCAAACAGGAGAAGCAUGCUAAAAGGCAACUUGGUGAUUAAGUUGUAUUGAAACGGUUGCUUCCUGCUGUUGUGUAGAUAAAACAGGAAGAAAAGGAAUGGCCUUAGUUUUUGAGAGUUUCCGGAAAAUGCUCUUGGCUACUGGAUUGGAAAAUCUGGACACGUUUGCUGGUAAAUUUUGUCAAUUCAUGGAUGCGAUUUCUUCUUGGACAUGUUAGAUUCUGGUAGCUUUGAGUAAUAGUUAUUGGCAAAUACUAGCCAUGCAUUGUUGUAUUGCUUGUAUACUAGUGGAUUUUGUUAGAUUCAGGUAUUUUGGAAAUUUGUUCAUGGAAUUACUUGCUCUACGACUGUUGUCUGACCGUUAUUGAGGUAACAUUUUGAUCUUAGGAGGACGACCGUUAUUCGAGUCUGUUGGAAAACUUCCACUGUGUUACAAUCUGCAUGUCAUCUCUUACCGAAGAAAAAGAUUAAGAAAGCAAAAACUUUCACAAUAUUUCAAACAAAGAACUAGUAAUUGCUUAUUUCCACGAGGUCUUUAACUUUUAAAAUUUGUCUUUCACUUAAUUUCAAAUCAUGCCUGAAUUAGCAGAACUUAGGUUCUCAAAGCAACGAUAUUGGUUCAUGCAGGACAUACUUGCAGCUGCUGUCCUCUAACUGCAGUGUAGGAGGGAAAACAUUUACACAAGGGAGCUAUCAGCGACUUGCGUGUUGCCCCAAAAAGUCAUCCAGUGUCGUACACAGCCUGAAAAUAGAAGCCUAAGACAAGAAGAACGGAUUUUAGUCUUACAGCUUUUGCUUAAAGAGUUCGGUAAUGACCACUGAUCCCAUGGGCCAUAGAUUGUAAGAGCAUCCAGGGGCGGACAUACGUUGGGGCACACACUCAAAUUCAAACAAUUCUAAUAAUGAUCUUAAAUGUUUUUCAUAGAGAUACAAGUGUCCUACUAUAUUUUAGCAUACCGCACUUGUAUACAUCUCGAAAACUCGCAUACCUCUGAUUCUAUAUCUCAACUUUCAUCCUAGAGUUGAUUUACAGGUAUUAGUUUGUAUUAUAUCUCUCUAUUUUGGGCAUCAAAUUCUUGGUACUAUUUGUUUCUAACAGUCUUAGAGAAACAUAUUAGCAGGCAUUCAGUGAUAGAACCAUCUCAAUCUCGAUUACAAUUAACAAGGAGCCACCACAAAGUUAGAUUUUUAGGUUCGCCACUGCAAGCGUCUGAACUUAGAUUUCAGAUGAAUUCGUCCUAGUUGUUAGAAAGACAUCUAUGCAUGUUUCUCAUAAGCUAGAUAGUCUUAAUCUAAUAUCCCAACAGUGGUGAAAGGGGGGAUAUUUUCCAAAAUAUUUGGGUAAAAGUAAAAAAAAAAAUUACUCUUCCGAGACGAAUCCAUAAUCCACAAAAGUUCGGCGUAAAACCAACAAAUGCAGAAAAAAUUGAACAAGGACAAAAAGUGCUUUGCUUAGCGGAACACCAUCUAAGUCUUUGUUACAGUAGUUUCUUUGUUUGUGGAAUUAAUGCAGCUGUUAAUAUACACCUGCCAGGAACUCCAUAAUCCCAUGUCAGGAUGUAAAAAGUGUAUUAAAUGAGUACUCUCCACAAUCAGAAAAAGCUGGACUGAGAUCUUAUCAUAACUUUUACGUAUCUGCUCUAGGAUUAUGCACUAAUUCUCCUGAAGAUUGAGCAGAUUUUCUGACAAGAUCUUAUACUAACUGGCCUAAGCAAAUCUUUCAUAAUUAUGCCCUUUAGGAAUGUUGGACAAGUGGUGAUUAGAGAUAAGGAUGUUCCCUUAAUGUGUGGUCAGAGCAGAUAAUAAUGCAUUGACUUUUCCUGCUAACUUGAGAUAUGUUCUCUUCCUAGUCACGGGCCAGAAGUCUUCUUUAUAACCUUCCUCCUCGAUUUCCCAUUUACCACAUCCAUGGGUUGGAACAAGCUCUCCGCGAGGAAAAUCGAUAAUCAAACCUCUCGACAAGUAAUGUAUUCGAAGCGCAAAGAUGCCAUUGUCAAAAAAGCAAGUGAACUGUCAGUUUUAUGCGAUACAGAUGUUGGUCUUCUAAUGUUUUCUCCUACUGGUCGAUUUACUAGCUUCGCAAGCAAUGGAAGGUUGAUUUGGAAGGGACACUUAUUUUACGUUUCUUUUUCAUACUCGCUUUUGUUUUUCUUUCGUAUAUGUUCUCACCAUUUUUCUAUCUUUUGGCAGGGUCGAGGAUAUCUUCUUGCGAUUUAUUAGCCGGCCUGACGAGCUGAAAGGGGGGCCUAUAGCGGAUGAAGAGUAUUUAUCCGGAAGGCUCAAGCAGUUGAAGCAAGAAGGAGAAAUGCUGGAAAAGAUAGCCAAGUCUCUCUCUCUCUCUCUCUCUCUCUCUCUCUCUCUCUCUCUCUCUCUCUC